rnacentral:lncRNA from 12 species
CCGUAUCUGUCUAUAGCAAUUCCCAUGACAGUUACAGCAAAAUUACAGAAACUGGGUCGUUUAUAUAACCCUUUGUAUUGUCAAAGCACAUUAACUGUCUGCUUUCCUGCACCCUGCUGAGCUGUCUUCAGCUGUCAAAUCCCCAUACCGCAGCUCAGCACACUGAGGGUAAAGGUCUCUGGCAGUGCCCACACAGGAGAUGCCAGACCCUCAGGGGCGGCAAAGGUUUCGAAAGGGAGAUUUCACAUUUCCUGUGAGCACGGGUCCCGUGGUUUAAAAUAUACCGAAUCCUCGAUUUUCCAGCCAAAUGCACUGUCACCUGGCUACUGGCUUGCUUCCUCCCAAAAGGGCAGACAUGACGUUUGUCUUUUAUUACGGACAGGGUUGGAAGGGCUUAUCCAUCUAUGCAUUCACUUGAUAAAGAAGGAUUUAUGGAAUGUUUUCUACGAUGCUGGGACUACGAAUAACCUGUACCGGCCACCAUUUUAAGGACUUCGCACAUACUGACUCCUUUAAUCCACAUGUUAACCCUGCGAGCCACACGGUUCCGAGGAGGAUCCGCUCAGUGCGUUCCUUGCUUAGCCGUUCUCUGGCCAGGGCUGCCUGGCUACCGGGCUGCUCCCUGAGUCAAGAUAAAUUGAUCCCGUCCAGCCCCCCUUCUCUUCCACCCAGCUCCUCCUCUGCACCUUCCCCUGAGUGAGACCAACACACUGCUGGAGGUGGAUCCAGGUACCACCUGCAGGUCGGCUGGGGCUUCUGCAACCCGGAGUCCUUCCCGCUGCCUUCCUGCUUCCCCCACGCCAGAGGGCCAGGGAGGAGGCACUGCUCCAGCCAAGGACAGACCUUGGCUUGUCUGGGGGCUCAGGUUGAGGGUGAGGGGGGGUGGCAAGGAAGGAAGGGAGUAGGAAGGGGGAGGAGAUAAGGGAGAGGGCGGUGAUGGGGCAGAGACAGAGGCAAGGGAAGAAAGCCGAGGUGCAGGUGCGAGAGAAGGGAAGGGAGGGGAAGGGAAGAGGAGGUGAAGGUGGGGAGAGGAGGCCAAAAUGGGACUAAAGCGGGGAACAGGACGGAGGCAGGGAGAGGAAGCGGCAGGAACAAAGGUUUAAGAAGACAGGAAAGCUUUGGCUCUGCUUCCUGUCCUCUAUGACUCCAGUGCCUGCAUCCCGGCACGUGUGCACGUGCAUAGACACACGCACACACAUGCACAUGCACACACGUUCUCUGAAAGCAUUUGUCAAAAGAAGCCAUACAAAACAGAGAAUAAGGGGAAAAAGGCUCUUGAGAAAAGCUAGGUAAAUUAGAGUCCUGAAGUGGCGCAUCCUGACCUUGGACAUCUAAGUGGCUGGAGACAAAAGUCCUGGCCCAUUGCCAGGCAGGACAGGCUCCCAAGGAAGUCAGUCCAAAUUUAAAUCUCUUCUCUGUCCAGGAGGUUUCGCUGGUGAUAUGAUGUCAGAGCAGGUGGCAACCUGCCCUGAGCACUAGCAUAUUUAUAAAGUGGGUAUGAUUUCAAUGUUUGCUUUACAGGGAUGUUAAAAUUAAAUUAGGUUAAACAAACAAAUAAAAGAAAUGUAAAGGCCUUGGUCUCA